AAAUCCGUGACUUUCAAAUC
rnacentral:tRNA from 1 species